AAGACACUUAGAACUGGUUGCUAUGAAAUUUACUGUGUGCCAGAAACCUGAGAGCUAAUUGAUAUUCAAUUCAAAGCUGGCUGCUAUGAAACUAAAGACUGCCCACACUAGAGAUUGCAGAGAAUGUGAUUAACAUCAUCUUGAAUUUCUAUAAAACUAAUAAAAGCUUUCAAAUGCAUUCGAAAGUAAACGGUCAAAUGAGCUUUUAAAAGUUCUAGCAUGUCCUUACAGA
rnacentral:lncRNA from 1 species